UAUUCUAUUUAUAGUUUCCUACGGGUACGAGUGAAUAGACGUGUCUCUUCGUGAAAAGUCAUGUCUCUUGGAUGUGUGGUUGUGAUUGGAACUUGAAAAGGUGUGUUGAUUCUCGUCCGCAUGAUCAACAGUCGCGUCCUUUCCUUGUUGCCUUGAUACUGGUUCGGAAAUGGUGUGUGUAGGAGACACACCCAUUCGGUUAUUGAGGGAAGUUUCAAACUUCCAUCUUGUCAACUUUGGUCCUUCAACUUUGUAACCGCCACUUACUAAUAAAUCUAAACUAUCUAUCUACUAAUUACAUAAUGAACCCUAAUACUUAUAUAGGAUGUGAAGAGAUUAUGAUUUCAUUCACCCCCCUAAUCUUGAACAUCCUUAAGUUGCACCUUGAUCUUUCUCCAUGUCUUGCUUGCCAUCAUGCGCUUGUUGAAGUAGAUCAUUGCAGUCUUCUUUGAUUGCCAUUAGAAGAGUUGGUUCCUCGUCUUCCUGCACCAGAUUUGUUUCUUCUUCUCUUUGAUUUGAUUCAGGACAAUCUGAGGCAUAAUGACCAAACUUUUGGCAAUUGUAGCAUUUAAUCUUGCUUAAAUCCUUCCCAAACUUCCUUUGGUUGCUUCUACUCUUGUAAGCAUCAUGUGAUGAAUCUUCAUCAUCAUCUUCUUGUUUGAACUUUCCAUUUCGCCAUUUGUCUUGCGAUGAGUUGAACCUUCCUUGUCCAUUGUUCCCAAAACGCCUUCCACUACCAUAGUUCUUGUCGCGUCGCGUAUACAUAAGUCUCUCUUGAUUAUAUACCGGGUUUUCAUCCACCAAACCGGUCCUUUCUUCAUAGGCUUUCAAUCUUCCAAUUGUCUCGUCUAGCGUCGUUGUUUCUAAAUCAGCGAAUUGUUCAAUGGUUGCAACAAUUUGAACGAACCUUUUUGGUACAGAACUCAGAAGUUUCCGUACUAAAGUUGGUUGAUCAAAAGUUGAUCCAAGACCACUUGCCCUCGUGACAAUGCUAUUUAGUCUUGCAGUGAACGAAUCGAUAGUGUCUUCCUCCUUCAUCUUUAACAUCUCAAACUCUGUUUUGAGCGUUUGAAGACGUGCCUUUUGCACUCGAUCUGCACCGACGUGUCUAGUCUUUAAUGCAUCCCAAAUUUCUUUUGCACUCUUGCAACUUGCAACUUGUAUUAUCAUAUCUUCCGUUAGUGCUUGAAAUAAAUAAGCGGUCGCCAUCAUAUCCUUCUUUUCAUCCGCUUGCGUAUUUUCUUUUGGUUCUAUCAUUUCCCAUAAUCCGUUUGCCCUCAAAAUGGUUUUUAUACGGAUUGCCCAUACCGUAUAAUUUGUAGACUUUAAAAUAGGACACUGAAACUGGGAGAACGAACUACCCUCUCUAAUUACUACCGCGUUUGACGGAGAGGCUCCUCCUGAAUCCGCCAUAAUUUCUUUUCCAACAAUUUUCACUUUCUAUACUUUGGUUUUUCUUCCUAAAACCGAAGUCUAUGAUUCUCAAAAAAUUCACACUAACUUUCUAAUGAAAUCAAACCAAUUUCUAAAUCUUAUAUAAAUUCCAGAAAAAAUAGAACGUAGAACCUGGAAUUUGCGAACCGACCGACUUCUCUUAUCGUGAUUCCCCGCACGGUUUUCUGACUUUUCUUAACAGCCCUCUUGGCUGCGUUUUUUUUUUCUUCCUUCUUAAUUCGCGACUCUCUAAACACAAACCAAAAAAUCUGCCCCAAACCCGCUUGAUUUGCGACUAACCUGAAUCGUAGCCUGAUGGAAGAGACUUUGAGUUUGGAGGCACAUGUAAAGAGGAUUCCAGCAAAGGACUUGCGGUUUCUUCCUAGGGUAACGACGGUGAACCGUUAUGGAGCUGAUAUCAUGUCACUAUGAGCAACUGAACUUUAUCAGUUGAAGUGUCACAUGCUCCACCAUGUUAAAUCUGUUUGUUUGAUUUUCAAGCAAGGGAAAGCGUGAUAUUGACUAAUCGGUUGCUACAUGUUCAGAUAUAUAGGCGAUUAGGGCGUGUAGUUGCUUUUUUGCAACCUAGGGUUCCGGUGAUGACUAUUUAGCGCUGCUUGGGGCUGCAUGCAACUGAUUCCGGCAGAUUCGAGCAUCCUUGGUAUUGGUGACGACACUAGGGCUUAAACCAUAACAAUGGUGGCUGAUUCAGAAGAGAAGUUGUCGAAGUAGGUUGAAGCUAGAUCCAUGGUCAGAGGUGACAUACACAUUUGGGUUUCAUAUGGGAAACGGGUGGUGGUGUGCUUAUGGAUAUAACGCCAAUGGCUGGAGGUUUGAUUCGGGUGAUUACGUGAGUCCCGAUAACCAUAUCUCCUAUUUUGGUUGUAUAAAAUCCAUCAGGACAUAUGUAUAGCUCUUACGAUGGAUGUUGUGGUGAUUCCCAACAAAGGGGGGCGUGGCCAUCUAUUGAAGUCAUCACAGGUGCAAGUGGGUUUCGUUCUUGGUAGAUUUGGAUCUGUUCGGGCCUCGAUCAAACGGGUCAACACUAUUAAUCAUGUGUACUUUUGCAAAAUUAGGGUGCUUUUUUGCUUAACUUAAAUUGGGACAAACACAGAUGUCCUUAUAUUGAUCUUUAUCUUUGUAUGUAUAACUGUCUUGAGUGAUCCCCAUGGUCUACAAUGAUAUCUUUGGUGUGUUUUGUUUCCAAUGACAAUAUUUAUCAAUAACAAAUUUCACAUA